rnacentral:rRNA from 1 species
UACGGAGGGUGCAAGCGUUGCUCGGAAUUAUUGGGCGUAAAGGGCAGGUAGGUGGUCUCAUUUGUCCGGGGUGAAAUCCUUGAGCCUAACUCAAGAAGUGCCCCGGAGACGGUGAGACUAGAGUUUUGGAGAGGGUCGUGGAAUUCCCGGUGUAGCGGUGAAAUGCGUAGAGAUCGGGAGGAACACCAGAGGCGAAAGCGGCGACCUGGACAAUGACUGACACUCAACUGCGAAAGCGUGGGGAGCAAACAGG